CUGAAUGCUUGAUUUUGAUGCAGUGUAAGGAGGGGGAAUGUGUUUUACCCUCUGAGCUGGAAUGGUGUAAAAGUGUUGAAUAUUGUAUUAACCUCUAAAUGAUGAAUUCCUGUGUUUUGAUGUGAAUUAUAUCCUAUGCAGAAAUAGCAUCAGCAUCGUGUAGGGGGAGAAGUACUAGCGGCAGCAAGAGGAAGGAGCCGGAAAGGCCGAGAGGCUUUGAUUCUCAGAGAUUCCUCUCUAAACAACAUAA
rnacentral:lncRNA from 1 species